rnacentral:rRNA from 1 species
UACGGAGGGUGCAAGCGUUUUCCGGAUUUAUUGGGUUUAAAGGGUGCGUAGGUGGCUGAAUAAGUCAUGGGUGAAAGCCCGCAGCUCAACUGUGGAAAUGCCAGUGAUACUGAUUAGCUUGAGUGCGGUUGAGGCAGCUGGAAUUGGUGGUGUAGCGGUGAAAUGCAUAGAUACCACCAGGAACACCGAUUGCGAAGGCAGGUUGCUAAGCCGUAACUGACAAUGAGGCACGAAAGCGUGGGGAGCAAACAGG